GGGGGGGACCAGGGGCGGGGCGAGAGGAGGGCGGGGCCUCUGCUCCUCACGCUGGCCAGGGCCUGGCCCUGGGCGCCCACCAGAGGCACAGGCAUUGGCAGGCCUGGCCUGACCACCUGCGGGCCCUGCGCUGGGCGCCUCGGGCAGGCGUUCGCAGGGGCGCACGGGCGAAGGGCGGCCUGCACGGGGCUUCCAGGGCUGCUCAGAAGGGGCCGGGCGGGGAAGCCUGGGAGGGGCAGCGGAAGUGUCUUGGACAGUAAGGAGCUUCUGACAGCGCACACAUUCACCCUAAGUUUUGACCACACCUCGCAUCUGUAAAAUAGAAGGACCCCUGUAAAACACACCCCACUGCCGUUAUUAUUCCUAGAUUUCUUAACAUUAUUGGAUAUCCAGAGCUCACACUUUCAGUUGUCUUACUAAAAUAGUAAUGAAUUCAUAUAUUUAGUGUAUGUACUGCCAAAGCCAGCACUGAAUUCAUGUAUUUGAAUAUAUUUAAUAUAUUUUAAUUCAUCAUAAUGGUUACUGUUUUUAUUAUUUAUUACCAAUAUAGUUAAUAUCACUGAUGUUCAAAUUGUCCUUUGGUUAGUAGGAGCUUCUCCAAGUUGGCUUAAAUCCAGUCGGCUUUGAUAAUUUUCUUUUCUUUUUUGAGAUUGGGUCUCACUAUGCAGUUCAGACUGGCCCUGCAGUCACUGUGUAGCCCGGGCUGAACUGGAGCUCGCAGGGAUCCUCCUGCCUCAGUUUCCCAAGUGCCGUGCAGCGCCGCUCUGGGCUCAUGGUGAUUUUCUUGCUUUCUGGUACAAGUAGAUGCUCGGGCUCCUCGUUUCCUAGACCAGACCCGGAGUCAGCGCUCAGUCCAGAGACACGGUGCAGACUGGCGGACCCAGCGCCCGGCGAGUGGUGCUCCCGCUGUUUCCAGGCCUCUCAUGUGGGCAGAACCAGGCAGUGGAAACAGUCUCCACACCUACUUAUCAUCUCUCUAUCAUCUACCUCUCUGGCUGGCUGUCUACCCACCCACCAUCACCACCUAUCAUUGGUCUGUCAUCUGUCUAUCCAUCCAUCUGUCUGUCCAUCAUCUGUAGCUCCAUCUCUCCAUCCACCCAUCAUCUGCCAUCCAUAUGUCUCUGUCUCCAUCCACCAUCUAUUGAUCUGUCUACCCAUCACUCAUCUGUCACGCACCUAUCCACCUACCCAUCUGCAUCUGUUUCCUUCUCUUGUUGGAGGUGGGUGAACCUGGGGGACCCAAGGACCUGGCCUUGCUGCGCACACCUCUGCCCUGAGCGGGCCCUGGUCUCUCCCCUGCCAGCAUCUUUGGUCCCAGCGCAGCCUGGACGGUAGAACCAGGAUGUGCAUAAUCACUCCGUGGUUUUCUCUUGAGUCAUCAGGCCGGCAGUCUGAGAACAGCAAAGCCACUCAGGACCACCAGCAGCAUCACUGGAAACAAAUGCCCGGACCUUGCAGAGCAGCCAGAGGGCCGGGGCCCCAGCUGACGCCAGUGAGUCAAAGGAACGGUAGCUGAUCCAGGGAGAGGAGAAAGCUCUGCGAGUUUUAGGUCUGGCAGCCGGUAGCAUGUGGGCUCGCCGCUGCUUUGCCUUUGUCUUCUUGUUUAUUCAGCAAUGAUAAUAGGAUGAGUCCUUACUCGUGAGCCACAUUCCACACUGUUGGUGUAACAGUGAUCUGCACGGCACGGACAGUGUUCUCUCCACAAACUGAAGCCCCAGAGAGGCUGAGGGACUUGUCCAGGGUUUGAACAUGCAAUUCACUUGCCAGUCCUUUUAUUGAUGGCACUGGAGCUGUUUGCACUUGGAGGCUUUUUAUAAAGUUUCUAUGAACA